rnacentral:lncRNA from 1 species
CCUCAAUCUUUCACAACAAUUGAUAAACAUUGAUCCAUAAAUAACUUUGUAAAUCAAAUAUUAAUUUAUUAAAUUGAUUCUUUUCACUAGAAUCAACACUAACACAAAAGAAACAAGAAAACUAAGAAGAAGAGAUAGCACCAAGCUUAUCCCCAGCUCAGUACUAUCACAGUCUAGUCCCCGGCUCACAACUCUCACAGUCUGGCAUUUUCUUCCCCUCUUCCAUCCUCCUUAUACUACCCCGAGAUACCAACUCUUAUACUACAGAUGAUAACUACUUUUCUUGACUAUUCAUCCAUUCUACCUGUUGAACCACCUUUUCAGUAGUUAUCUAUCUCUGUUUAU